CAUAGUUUCAAUUCAAAAUACUUCGCAACUUAUUCAUAAGUUUAACAUUUCGAAAAACCAAAAGAUAUUGGUACUGCAUGACAGCAACAAAGACAAAUGGCCGGAACUUGCUCCUCUGAAAUCAUCGAACUGGUAUCCAAUGGUAUCCAAUAUCCAACAGAAUAUUGUUGUUAUAAUAUUUUGAAUUUAAAAAGCGUUAUAAACUGGACCCGCUUCACCGCGUGACUGGAUAAUUAAUUAAGCCACUGACAGUAAAGAAGAUACACGUACAGUACAGGGAAAGAAUAGUCAAACCAAAUUGCUAUACGGCGGUACACCUAGUAAUCCUUGGCUGUUGAAUUCAAAUAUAUCCAGUGUUUUCUAACUUUGAUGGUAAACAUGACGGUCCCGAAAGCAGCAUUUUUUCUAGUGUUUCUGAUUGUUGUCGUCAAUGCACGAUAUCGCCUUUCAAACAACGCGGACAUGUUUGCAGGUGAAGGAGAAAGCACAAAGUGUUGGUGUCAGGGUGGCAAAGUUAGUGGAAUUUGUUACAGUAGCGCCUGUCCGCCAGGACUUACCGAAUGUGAAUUUUGCGAUGGUGUUGGGGUUUGCUGUUCUUGAUCUUACAAACAGUGUCUUGUUUGCAUUUUUGUUAACCUCUGAAGUGUUUGAUGACCAUAAAUGUAGUUUAUUGAUAUAUUCACGUUUCGAUUUCUAAUAAAAGAAAGAAAUCAAA